rnacentral:rRNA from 1 species
GAUUUGUAGUGUGAAUUGCAGAAUUCCGUGAAUCAUCGAAUCUUUGAACGCAUAUUGCGCUCGAGGCUUCGGCCGAGAGCAUGUCUGCCUCAGCGUC